rnacentral:rRNA from 1 species
UAGUACGGCGAGUGAACCGGGAAGAGCUCAAAUUUGAAAUCUGGCGUGCUCAGUGCGUCCGAGUUGUAAUCUAUAGAGUCGUUUUCCGUGCCGGACUGUGUCCAAGUCCCUUGGAACAGGGUAUCAAAGAGGGUGAUAAUCCCGUACUUGACACAAUGACCGGUGCUCUGUGAUACGUCUUCUACGAGUCGAGUUGUUUGGGAAUGCAGCUCAAAAUGGGUGGUGAGUUCCAUCUAAAGCUAAAUAUUGGCGAGAGACCGAUAGCGAACAAGUACCGUGAGGGAAAGAUGAAAAGCACUUUGGAAAGAGAGUUAAACAGUACGUGAAAUUGUUAAAAGGGAAACGAUUGAAGUCAGUCGUGACUGAGAGGCUCAGCCGGUUCUGCCGGUGUAUUCCCCUCAGUCGGGUCAACAUCAGUUUUGUUCGGUGGAUAAGGGCAGUUGGAAGGUGGCACCCUCGGGUGUGUUAUAGCCAGCUGUCGCAUACAUCGGAUGAGACUGAGGAAUGCAGCUCGCCUUUAUGGCCGGGGUUCGCCCACGUUCGAGCUUAGGAUGUUGACAUAAUGGCUUUAAACGACCCGUCUUGAAACACGGACCA